AUUACGGUUUUGACUACUGGGGACAAGGCACGAUGGUCACAGUUACAUCAGCCACUUCAACUAAACCAACUGUGUUCCCACUGAUGCCAUGUGGUUCUGGGACUGGAAACACGGUCACUCUUGGCUGCCUCGCCACCGGCUUCACACCCUCCUCACUGACUUUCGCAUGGAACAAAAAUGGAGUUACCGUGGCAGAUUCUAUUCAGUACCCUUCGGUACUGAAAGGUGACCUCUACACAGGAGUCAGUCAAAUCCAAGUCCCGAGACGGGACUGGGACGCCACGCCGAGCAACCGUUACAAGUGUCUUGUGACGCAUGCUGCAGGAAAUGGAGACACUACCAUCAUUAAGCCAGAGGUAAUUUAUACGCCACCCAAGGUGAAAGUGUUGGCCCUCUCUGGUGAGGCAAACGAGGCCUCCUUCCUCUGCACUGCCACAGACUUUUCACCAAAAGAUCACCAGAUCAAAUGGCUGAAAAAUGACGCGGAAAUCACUAAGGAAAUCUCUGAAUUCAAAAGCUAUAAUGAUACACAUUACAGUGUAGCAAGUAUUCUCAAAUUGCAAUCCAGUGACGUGCCUGAAAAGGCCGAGAUUAGAUGCGAGUUCAAGUGGAAAAGCGGCCAGUAUGCUGGAUUAUUGAAUGACACUCUGGAAUACAGCCCCAAAAGACCAAAUCCGUCCAACGAAUGCCCUGAAGCAGACGUGGUUGUACGAAUCGAAGGCCCCAAACUGGAGGAAAUACUUCCAGAGAAGAAAGGGAUCCUGCUUGAAUGGGACAAUGCCAUGAAGGCAGAAGAUGAUAACAUGGGAAACACUGCCGUCACCUUCAUCAUUCUCUUCCUCACCUCCAUUCUGUUCAUCAUUGGAACCACUGCUUUCAAGGUUAAAUGAAACCAGGCGAACUUUCUGUACAGUAAUACUUUUUCAUAUAUUUUUUUCUUGUAAACUCAGUAUCAUGUAAGUAACCGCAAUUUCCCCCUUUUCCCAUUAAAAUUUCAAGAGCUUUAUGUCUUUUUGAAAAUAAAUGUUAAAAUGCAGAUAACAACUGAUGCCGUUACUUUUUUCUCCUCACCAUUACUUUGAAAUGGUUUGCAUCAUCCAGUUUGAAUAUGUUUUAUACAAUACUCAUAACUGUGUUAUUUAAUAUUCUGUCUGUGUUUAUUGUUGUACUGAAUUAUGUAAUAAAAGGUUAUGUUCA